UGCCCAGCAACUCCUAUCCCUACCUCCUCGCGGCACAGGACGGAAACUAUGAGCAACCUUAGGGAAGAUCGGGUAACCAACCCCGGUGGGAACUUUGGUCGUAGGCUGACAGGGAAAG
rnacentral:ribozyme from 1 species